GACGGAGGGUGCUAGCGUUGUUCGGAAUUACUGGGCGUAAAGGGCGCGUAGGCGGCUUGUUAAGUCGGGUGUGAAAGCCCGGGGCUCAACCCCGGAACUGCAUCCGAGACUGGCGAGCUUGAGCCCGGGAGAGGAGAGUGGAAUACCCAGUGUAGAGGUGAAAUUCGUAGAUAUUGGGUGGAACACCGGUGGCGAAAGCGGCUCUCUGGCCCGGAUCUGACGCUGAGGCGCGAAAGCGUGGGGAGCAAACAGG
rnacentral:rRNA from 1 species